CUACCGGGGUAUCUAAUCCUGUUUGCUCCCCAUGCUUUCGCACCUCAGCGUCAGUGUUAGGCCAGAAGGCUGCCUUCGCCAUCGGUAUUCCUCCAGAUAUCUACGCAUUUCACCGCUACACCUGGAAUUCUACCUUCCUCUCCCACACUCUAGCCGUACAGUUUUGAAGGCAAUUCCCAGGUUGAGCCCGGGGAUUUCACCUCCAACUUAUACAACCGCCUACGCGCGCUUUACGCCCAGUAAUUCCGAUUAACGCUUGCACCCUCUGUAUUACCGCGGCUGCUGGCAC
rnacentral:rRNA from 1 species